UGGGAUGAGCUGCCACCAUGAGGCUG
rnacentral:piRNA from 2 species